UUUUAUUUCCGUCAGCCCCUCUCUAAAUUUCAAAGAUUGUAGACUUUGGGUUAGAUUUUGUUGACUUUGGCUUAGAUAAAAUCUCACCCAAAUCUAAUCCAAAUCGGAGGAUAUCACAUCGAAUCCAGAUUUUUGGAGGUAUGUUCUUCUCUUACUCGUUUUCUCCUUCCAUUCUCUCCAAUCAAUCUCUCAUCUCCCGUUCAAACGGCUAUUUGAAUUCAAACCUUUAUUUUUUAUUUUUGCUAUAAAU
rnacentral:lncRNA from 1 species